GCUGGAGUGCGGCGAACGUGCAUUGGUUGGUCGUUGCAAUGUGUUUUCCACCAAUAGUGAGCCGGCUUGUUGCUGCUGAAAGAUGGCGGACCGACUGACUCAACUGCAAGAUGCAGUUAAUUCGCUGGCCGACCAGUUCUGCAAUGCCAUCGGUGUGUUGCAGCAGUGUGCUCCUCCGGCAUCAUUUACAAACAUUCAGACAGCCAUAAACAAAGAUCAGCCAUCUAAUCCCACAGAAGAAUAUGCACAGCUUUUUGCUGCACUCAUAGCAAGGACUGCUAAAGAUAUUGAUGUGUUAGUCGACUCACUGCCAAGUGAAGAAUCGACAGCAGCGUUGCAGGCUGCAAGCCUACGCCAGCUGGAGGAGGAGAACCAUGCGGCAGCAGCUCGCCUGGAGGAGGUUGUAUUCCGAGGAGACUUGCUGCUGGAGAAGAUUCAGUGUGCAUUAGCCGACAUUGCCCAGUCACAGCUCAGCACAAGGAGCAGUGGUUACACCCAGCGUGCCCCCGAAUCUUAGCACCAGGGACGGGCUCUCUGCUUAGACUGGCAGGCCAAAAUAGAACCACCGCCUUUUGUUUCAGUGUGGAAUGGUGGCAGAUGGUGCAAGAAGAAGAGAUAUGGUGAAAUAGCAAAUGAAGCUCAUCUGUGGUUGGCAGCUCAUCUAGGAGAAGGAAAACUGAUCUUAACCCUCUGCUGCCUUGUGGCUAUACCCACUCAUGGGGAAGGCUUUGGGAGUAAACUGCAAGGGAAAAAUCUGGAGCUGGAGUCCCUAAGGCAGUGAGUUCAACGCUGACUGGAAACUCCAGUGACGCCACUGGUGCAAAACUGAAUCAGCCUCUGCCAUUCCUUGGGCUGAUCAGCUGCAUGGAGAAGGGUAGCCUGCUACAUAGGCAACAGCUUGGACUCCACAUCAUUCUACCUUGGCUUUGCAUAUCUAGACAGGUAAGAUGCAACAUCCAUGGUCGAGUCUGACCAACCAAGGUCUCAGAAUAUUAGACUAAUAGUAUAUUAUUGGUGUCAUAAUUAUAAGGAACCUCCAGCUUCUGUCUGUUAAUACUUUAUUUACUGCCCCUAACCUCUAAUUCCCCCUUAUCCUUGCCCCUAAACCCUAAUCUAACCCCUACAUCCUCACACUGUCCCAAAAACCAUCCCAACAAACCUUUAUAUAAAAAAAAAACAGCCAUGACCUUUGCAGACAUCGCAGCUCAGCCAUUCAGACAGGAAGUCAGUGUUAAAUAAUUGUUAAUUAAUUAUGUCAUCCUGGAUGCCAUCAUGAAAGGAAGUCGAUGCUAAAUCUAUUGUGAAUAUUCACAUUAAGUUAAACCUGGCUGGCAGUUCUGUUUAGUUUGCGAAGAUGUGAUUUGAUUUAAGAUUCAAGAUUGCUUAAUGUCAUUUCCAGCACAGAAAUAUAAAGGAGAAUGAAAUAACUCUAGAUCCAAUGCAGCACCAAGAACACAAUAAAUAUAAAACGUAAGAUAGCUUAUACACAUUGAUUGUAUGCCCGUAAAGUGGAGCUAGGUACAGGAGUGUCUGUCCAUAAGGUGACUGUACAUUAGUUUCCCAGAUCACAGCUACAAGGCUAGCUACAUGUAGGCCAGGUUCAGUAAACAGCGGACAGAAUUAUUGGAAUAGGAAAUCUUUGAAUUGUUGUGUUUAAUGGCUCUUAGCCUGUACUUGCUGAAGUUUAGAAGAAUGAGGGGAAAUUUCAUUGAAACCUACUGAAUAUCGAAAGGCCUAGAUAGACGGGGAGAGGAUGUUUCCUAUAAUGGAGGGGACAGCUUCAGAAUAGAGAGAUGUCCAUUUAGAAUGGAAUUGAGGAAUUUCUUAAUCAGAAGGUGGUGAAUCUGUGGAAUGCUUUGCCUCAGCUGUGGAGGUCAAGUCAUUGAGUAUAAUUAAAGCGGAGAUUGAUAGAUUCUUGUUUAGUCAGGGCAUGAAGGGAUGGGGGAGAAAGUAGGAGAGUGGGGUUAUAGAACAUAGAACCAUAAAAAACCUACAGCACAACACAGGCCCUUCAGCCCACAAUGCUGUGCUGAACAUGUACUUACUUUAGAAAUUACCUAGGGUCACCCACGGCCGUCUAUUUUUCUGAGCUCCAUGUCCCUACCCAAGAGUCUCUUAAAAGACCCUAUUGUAUCUGCCAUGAGAGGGAUAAUAAAAUCAGCCAUGACUGAAUGACAGAGCAAACUCCAAAUGGCCUAAUAGCCAAGUUCUGCUGCUGUGUCUUAUGAAAACAUUAAGAUUAUCCAGGAACCUGGUGGGUUGAGCAUUCUUCCUUUGGGAGGAAGAAUGAAUUCUCAGCAGUUCAGAUUUCUGCCCAAAAUUCAUCCCCCCCCCCCCCCCCAACCCCUCAGGUGGAGUUCAACCUGGUAAUUUCACCCAGCCCCUUUUUCUUGCUCAAAUGCAAUCACAUCAUUACAUCCUCUUUACUGUGUGAUUAUCAGAGGUGCGUAGUACUGCUGAACAUGUUGUACAUCUGUACCUUAAUCCCCGGUCUCUGUGCCUUUAUUAAUGAAUGCACUGAUAUUUAUUUAUUUAGAGGUACAGUGCGAAAUAGGCCUGUCUGACCCUUUGAGCUGUGCCGCCCAGCAACCCUGAUUUAACCCUAACCUAAUCAUAGGACAAUUUACAAUGAGCAAUUAACCUCUUCACCAGUACAUCUUUGAACUGUGAGAGGCAACCAGAUCACACAGAGAAAACCCAUGCAUUCCGCGGGAAUGUUGUACAGACUCCUUAUUAAACAGUUACUUUCCCCAAGCAGUAAGGCUGAUCAACACCUCCACUCAUUAACUCCACCUCUGCUUUAUUAUUUCCCAUCAUUCACCUUGUGUACAGCCUAGCAUCACUUUAUGGACCAUCUAUGGAUAUAAACUAUUUUGUAUAUUUAUAUAUAUUUUUAUUAUUAUUGUGUUUUUAAUUUUUUUGUGCUGCAUUUGAUCCAGAGUAACAAUUAUUUUGUCCUUCUUUACAUGAGUACAGGAAAUGAUUGUUAUGGCUUCUCUGCGAUGUUCACUGCUGAGGUAACGGUUUCUCUAUAGCCGCAAUGUUUGGGUUAUGGCUGGAGAUAACAGCACUGUAAUAUGCAUGUUAGCCAAUCGGAGACUGUUGCUCUGUGUAUCUGGAAGGAUAUUGUUUUUGCGGUCUUUUGUUGAGGAGAGAUGAAGAGGGAGGACGCGUGUGGAGAGAGCUGGUGGACCACUGGACGGAGUGGACUGGGAUCUGAGGGUCCGAAGGUCGGCAAUGCUUGAGGAGACCAAUGGUGGAAGAAUGACAACUGAAUGUGCUCCAAAUGUGACUGGCUUGACUUGGGCCCUUUUUUAUUUUCAUUACUAGCCCUAUAUUCUGAUUAAGAUUCAUAAAGUUCAAUCAUUUAAUUGCAUAUGGUGCACUGUGAUAUUUUGUGUUGUGGGUUUGUAACUGGGGGUAUAUUACACAGCAUCCACCUAAACGUGAUUACCCAGUUUGGCAGGGCCGGAGGCUAUUUCCCUAGAUGCACAUGAGCUGGGUGAGCCUGAGGGUUACAUGAUAUUAAACAACGUUGAAUUUUGAAUCUUGGUUUCCCACUAACAAGGACCAUGCUCAUUGUCCUUGAUUCAUCCUUACCUCAAAUGAUCAAGUCCAGUAGCAUACUCUAGGUUCAGUUUGCUGUGUCUAACAAUGAUGGGAAACCUGUGCAGGAGAGCUUUUAAAGUGGAAAAGCCAUUCCACUGGAGCAGUUCUACUUUCUCGACCUCAGAACUCCUGGUCCAGUGACACAGCUUCCUUGGUUGCAGUGGAUGACCAUGACUAUAUCUGUGCCUCAUUAUGUUCUCUCCUUGGACCUUUAUAGAGCCACUUCACUGUAGAUCUCAUCCCCCUCCAGUCCACCGGAUUGACUUUGCACGCUAGCCAAGGCAUGUCCCUAUCUCACUGGCUACCCUCACCUGGUUCAGCCCACUUUUGAAGUGGCAUACCAGAGUGUGGACACUGUUUCGUGCUAACAGCUACUUGGAGCCAAAGGUGAGAGCCGACUGUCUGGUGGGGACCAAGAGUGAGAGAGGUGUCCUGGAAUGGACAUGACAGGCCCCUUAACCAGAGGUGCUACCCCUCGCUGGACACCCCCAGCACCCCAGUGACCCAUUGUAAAUUAGAUAUUGAACAUGUGACUGUUGUAGUUAGUUGGGAGGGAUCUUCAUUUGUAGUACAUUUGACUUUACAAACUUGUUCUGCUGUAGCCACAAGGCUUCCUGCAUCUCCAUUCUGCAGUUUCACAUUUAUUUUAGAGAUUCAGCAUAGUGCAAGCCCUUCUGGCCCAACAAGCCUGCCCUGUCAUAUUACGCCCAUGUGACUAAUGAACCUACUAACUGGUAUAUCUUUGGUAUGUUGGAAGAAACUGAAACACACGGUCACAGGGAGCAUGUAGAAACUCCUUCCAGGCAGAGUCAGAAUUGAACCUGGGUCACUGGUGUUGUACCAGUGUUUCACUAAAUGCCAAGCUGCUGUACCACCCAUGGCUCCAAGUGAGGACACUUGCGUUCUUACUGGCUUGCAUGAUUCAGUAGUUCUUCAGGAAGAAUAAAAGGCUGAAUAUGAAUAGUGUUUUUUUAAAAUAGCACAACUGUAAGAUUGAAUAUGCAACUUUACAAUCUUAGUACCUGCAAUUAUUUAAGCAUAGUUUUUAAAAAUCUAAGAUCUUGACCUGAAAUGUUGAUUCCAUAGUUGCUGCCUGACUUGCUGAAGUUUCUCCAGUAUGUUGUGUGUCUGUUGCACUCUAAUGUGUAAGGCAGGAUUACAUUACAUUACAUUCAUCAUUGUCCUGCAGUCUUAUUCAACAGAAGCUAAUGGAUAAAGUGUAGUGAGUUCCCACACUAUUAGAGCUCUCUCCUCUCAUUCUCUGAGUGCGGUGAUAAAUAAUGAACAAAUUCCAACAUUGUUUACACAAGAGAAAACUAAAAGGCACAGAUUCAAGAUGCGAGGAGAGAGAUUUAAGAGACCAGAAAGAAACUUUUUCACACAGAGGGUAGUGAGUAGCUGGAAUGCGUUGCCAGAGAACCGGUCGAGGCAGGUGUAAUUGCAAUAUUUAAGAGACAUUUAGAUAUUGUGGGGAAUUCCAGGAUCAAAGGGGACGUCCCUUCAGAACAAAGAUGAGAAAUUUCUUUAGCCAGUGGGUGGUGAAUCUGUGCAAUUCAUUCCCACUGACUGCUGUGGAGGCCAAGUCACUGGAUAUACUGAAAUCAGUAGUUGAUAAUUUACUUAUUAGUAGCGUCUUGGGGAAAAGGCAGGAGAAUACAGUUGAGUGGGAUAAGAAAUCAGCCAUGAUGAAAUGUGGAGCAGGCUUGAUGGCCGGAAUGGCCCAAUUCUGCUCCCAUGUCUUAUGGUACAUGGCGAGUGGCUUGAAGGGUUCAUUAUCAAAGUAUGUGUACAUUUAUACAAACUUGACAUUCGUCUUCUUACAGGAAGCCUUAAAACAAAGAAACCCAAAAGAACCCAUUUAAAAGAGAGACAGUCAAACACCCAAUGUGCAGAGAGGAAAAACAAACAUGUGAACAAUAAAAGCAAGCAAGUAAGUGUUGUGAACUGAAAUCCAAAGAGG